rnacentral:rRNA from 1 species
UAGGGAAUCUUCCGCAAUGGACGAAAGUCUGACGGAGCAACGCCGCGUGAGCGAAGAAGGCCUUCGGGUCGUAAAGCUCUGUUGUAAGGGAAGAACAAGCAUCGGUUAACUGCCGGUGCCCUGACGGUACCUUACCAGAAAGCCACGGCUAACUACGUGCCAGCAGCCGCGGUAAUACGUAGGUGGCAAGCGUUGUCCGGAAUUAUUGGGCGUAAAGCGCGCGCAGGCGGUCCUUUAAGUCUGAUGUGAAAGCCCACGGCUCAACCGUGGAGGGUCAUUGGAAACUGGGGGACUUGAGUGCAGAAGAGGAAAGCGGAAUUCCACGUGUAGCGGUGAAAUGCGUAGAGAUGUGGAGGAACACCAGUGGCGAAGGCGGCUUUCUGGUCUGUAACUGACGCUGAGGCGCGAAAGCGUGGGGAGCAAACAGGAUUAGAUACCCUGGUAGUCCACGCCGUAAACGAUGAGUGCUAAGUGUUAGGGGGUUUCCGCCCCUUAGUGCUGCAGCUAACGCAUUAAGCACUCCGCCUGGGGAGUACGGCCGCAAGGCUGA